rnacentral:rRNA from 1 species
GAUGAACGCUGGCGGCGUGCUUAACACAUGCAAGUCGAACGGAAAGGCCCAAGCUUGCUUGGGUACUCGAGUGGCGAACGGGUGAGUAACACGUGGGUGAUCUGCCCUGCACUUCGGGAUAAGCCUGGGAAACUGGGUCUAAUACCGGAUAGGACGAUGGUUUGGAUGCCAUUGUGGAAAGUUUUUUCGGUGUGGGAUGAGCUCGCGGCCUAUCAGCUUGUUGGUGGGGUAAUGGCCUACCAAGGCGUCGACGGGUAGCCGGCCUGAGAGGGUGUACGGCCACAUUGGGACUGAGAGACGGCCCAGACUCCUACGGGGGGCAGCAAUGGGGAAUAUUGCACAAUGGGCGCAAGCCUGAUGCAGCGACGCCGCGUGGGGGAUGACGGCCUUCGGGUUGUAAACUCCUUUCGCUAGGGACGAAGCGUUUUUGUGACGGUACCUGGAGAAGAAGCACCGGCUAACUACGUG